GGGUGAAAGGCCAAUCAAACUUCGUGAUAGCUGGUUCUCUCCGAAAUAUAUUUAGGUAUAGCGUUGUGUCGUAAUAUAAGGGGGUAGAGCACUGAAUGGGCUAGGGCAUACACCAAUGUACCAAACCCUAUCAAACUCCGAAUACCUUAUAUGUAAUCACAGCAGUCAGGCGGCGAGUGAUAAAAUCCGUCGUCAAGAGGGAAACAACCCAGACUACCAGCUAAGGUCCCUAAGUCUUACUUAAGUGGAAAACGAUGUGAAGUUACUUAAACAACCAGGAGGUUGGCUUAGAAGCAGCCAUCCUUUAAAGAAAGCGUAAUAGCUCACUGGUCUAGUGAUUUUGCGCGGAAAAUAUAACGGGGCUAAAGUAAGUACCGAAGCUGUAGACUUAGUUUACUAAGUGGUAGGAGAGCGUUCUAUUUGCGUCGAAGGUAUACCGGUAAGGAGUGCUGGAGCGAAUAGAAGUGAGCAUGCAGG
rnacentral:rRNA from 1 species